UACGUAGGGGGCAAGCGUUGUCCGGAUUUAUUGGGCGUAAAGAGCUCGUAGGCGGUUCGGUAAGUCGGAUGUGAAAUCUCCAGGCUCAACCUGGAGGGGUCAUUCGAUACUGCCGUGACUAGAGGUCGGUAGGGGAGUGUGGAAUUCCUGGUGGAGCGGUGAAAUGCGCAGAUAUCAGGAGGAACACCCGUAGCGAAGGCGGCACUCUGGGCCGAUUCUGACACUGAGGAGCGAAAGCGUGGGGAGCGAACAGG
rnacentral:rRNA from 1 species